GCCGUGAUCGUAUAGUGAAUACAACAUUGCGUUGUGGCCGCAAUAACCCAGGUUCAAAUCCUGGUCACGGCA
rfam:Nematostella vectensis strain CH2 x CH6 NEMVEscaffold_336_Cont24219, whole genome shotgun sequence.